CUGAACUCUGUGUGUAUGCUCAAUCUCUUCUCUCAACUCUCUCUCUAGCUCUCUCUAAUUCUCAAACUUGGAUUCAUCAGUUCCCCUCUCUAAACCCUCAAAAAAGUGAUUGAGCUUUCUACUGCUUUGAAAAAUGGCGGAUGAAAAUGAACAUUCUCAAAGAAGAGGUCCAAUCAAGUCUUCUGUUGGGAAUAUUGCGGCAAAUCGGAGACGACAACAAGCAGUUACAGUUAGUAAAGAAAGAAGAGAAGCAUUAGUACGAACUAAACGUUUAUGUAGAGAUGGAAUUGUUAAUGAUGAUGAUAUUGAUAAUUUGGGAGAUGGUGAUAAAGAUAUGAUGAUCGAUGAAGAACAAACAGCUUUGGAUGAACAGACUACUCAAGCUGUGGAACUGCUCAAAUCUGCUUUGAAUUCACAAGGGGCAGGUUCCAAGACAAAAAAGGUGGAGGCAAUUAGGGAUCUAAGGCGCUUGUUGUCGAAGUCUGAAAUACCUCCUGUUGAAGCAGCUCUCAAAGCUGAAGUAAUACCUGCUCUUGCGCAGUGCCUUGCAUUUGGAUCACCAGAUGAACAGUUGCUUGAGGCAGCCUGGUGUCUGACAAAUAUUGCUGCAGGAGAGCCAGAACAGACAAAGUCUUUACUUCCUGCCUUACCUUUGCUCAUUGCUCAUCUUGGGGAGAAGAGUUCCAUUCAUGUCGCCGAGCAGUGUGCAUGGGCACUUGGCAAUGUUGCUGGUGAAGGAGAGGAGCUGAGGAAUGUCUUGCUGUCACAAGGAGCCUUAACACCUCUUGCAAGGAUGAUGCUGUCAAAUAAAGGGUCAACAGCAAGAACAGCAGCUUGGGCCUUGUCAAACCUGAUCAAGGGGCCUGAUUCAACAGCUGCCUCCGAACUCAUAAAAAUCAAUGGAAUGCUGGAUGCAAUUGUUCGGCAUUUAAAUAAAGCAGAUGAGGAGUUGGCCACUGAAGUAGCAUGGGUUGUUGUUUACCUUUCAGCUCUAUCAAAUCUUGCUGCCAGCAUGCUUAUCAAGAGUGACCUUGUUCAAAUACUUGUUUGGAGAUUGGCAACGUCGGACAGUUUACAGCUGCUCAUUCCGGUUCUACGGAGUUUGGGUAAUCUGAUAGCCAGUGACAGUCACAAAACUUAUGUACUUACUGCUGGACAUGAUAUUACAGAAAAUGUCAUAUUGGCGCUCGUAAAGUGCUUGAGAUGUGAGCAUCGGGUAUUGGAAAAGGAGGCAGCCUGGGUUCUAUCCAACAUAGCAGCAGGUACUCUUGCUCACAAGCAGUUGAUAUACUCUAGCGAGGCAACACCUUUGUUGCUACAUCUUCUUUCUGCUGCUCCAUUUGACAUAAGGAAGGAGGUAGCAUAUGCACUUGGUAACCUUUGUGUCGCUCCGGUUGAAGGACAUGGCCAGCCUAACAUUAUCCUAGAUCAUUUGAUCUCACUAGUUACUAGAGGAUGCGUUCCAGGAUUUGUAAAUUUGGUCAGAUCUGCUGAUAUUGAAGCUGCAAGACUAGGCCUUCAGUUCUUAGAGCUGGUCAUGAGGGGGAUGCCAGAUGGAGAGGGACCAAGACUUGUCGAAAAGGAAGAUGGUAUCGAUGCUAUGGAGAGAUUUCAGUUCCAUGAGAACGGGGAGCUCAGAGUUUUGGCAAAUGGAUUAGUUGACAAGUACUUUGGUGAAGAUUACGGUGUUGAGGAGUAGAAGCAGGUCUGGGAUCUCAGAACUCUGGCUUCUUACACAUCUACCUUCAUGUUGUUCCUCCACUGCAUCCAUCUUCUGGCCGUAAAUUCAAGACUGCGUUAGAUGUCUUUCAAGAUUUAUUAUCCACGAGGCAUGAGGAUCAUCCAACGACCAAGGAUUUUUCAAGACGUCGAUGAUAAUAGCUACUCUUUGGAUUUUAUAUGUUUUCAAUCUACUUUAUAAAAUUGUGGUAGGGAACAAAUCGAUAGACUCAAACACAAUAAGCAUUUAAUGGUUCAAAUUGUGGUAGAGAUCACAUCCAAGGCAGGCUGCACUGGACACGGUAUGAUUGGCACUUUUAUUACUCCCUCUGUUACUUUUUAAUA